rnacentral:rRNA from 1 species
UACGUAGGGGGCAAGCGUUGUCCGGAUUUAUUGGGCGUAAAGAGCGUGUAGGCGGCCGUACAGGUCAGCUGUGAAAACUCGAGGCUCAACCUCGAGACGUCGGUUGAAACCGUACGGCUAGAGUCCGGAAGAGGAGAGUGGGAAUUCCCGGUGUAGCGGUGAAAUGACGCAGAUAUCGGGAAGAACACCCGUGGCGAAGGCGGCUCUCUGGGACGGUACUGACGCUGAGACGCGAAAGCGUGGGGAGCGAACGAGG